UUUCCGUAGGUGAACCUGCGGAAGGAUCAUUAUUGAAUAAACCUGAUGGGUUGUCGCUGGCUCUUUAGGGAGCAUGUGCACGCCUGUCAUCUUUAUAUUUCCACCUGUGCACCUUUUGUAGAUCUGGAUAAACUCUCGAGGUUAAACUCGGACGGGAGCGCUGCUUUUUUAGCUUCACUCCAAUUUCCAGGUCUAUGUUUUUCAUACACCCCAUAGUAUGUAACAGAAUGUAUCAAAGGGCCUUUGUGGCUAUAAACAUUAUACAACUUUCAGCAACGGAUCUCUUGGCUCUC
rnacentral:misc_RNA from 1 species